CUCCACCCAGACUCAUCCAUGAGAGACUAUAUAGAGAGUUUCUGUUGGUACUGAUAUUGUUGAUGUGGACUGAAAAUAAGUAGGGAAGCACGUGAGCUGACUGUCAAGAAAAGCCGCUAUUGUUUGCAGGAUACCCGUACCGUAAACCGACACAGGUGGAUGAGGAGAGAAUCCUAAGGCCGACGGGAGAAGCAUUGUUAAGGAACUCGGCAAAAUGACUCCGUAACUUCGGGAGAAGGAGUGCCAGUAAGAUGGCCGCAGAGAAUUGGCCCAAGCAACUGUUUAGCAAAAACACAGGUCUAUGCAAAACCGAAAGGUGAGGUAUAUGGGCUGACGCCUGCCCGGUGCUGGAAGGUUAAGGGGAGAGGUUAGCGCAAGCGAAGCUUUGAACUUAAGCCCCAGUAAACGGCGGCCGUAACGAUAACGGUCCUAAGGUAGCGAAAUUCCUUGUCGGGUAAGUUCCGACCCGCACGAAAGGCGUAAUGAUUUGGGCACUGUCUCAACAAUGCACCCGGUGAAAUUGAAAUACCAGUGAAGAUGCUGGUUACCUGCGCCAGGACGGAAAGACCCCAUGGAGCUUUACUCCAGCUUGAUACUGGGAUUCGGUAUUGCAUGUACAGGAUAGGUGGGAGGCUAGGAAAUGGUAACGCCAGUUGCCAUGGAGCCAAUGUUGGGAUACCACCCUUGCAGUACUGGGUUUCUAACCAGCAGCCAUGAUCCGGCUGGGGGACAAUGUCAGGUGGGGAGUUUGACUGGGGCGGUCGCCUCCGAAAGGGUAUCGGAGGCGCUCAAAGGUUCCCUCAGAAUGGUUGGAAACCAUUCGAAGAGUGCAAAGGCAGAAGGGAGCUUGACUGCGACACCGACGGGUGGAGCAGGUACGAAAGUAGGACUUAGUGAUCCGGUGGUAUAAAGUGGGAUUGCCAUCGCUCAACGGAUAAAAGCUACCCUUGGGAUAACAGGCUUAUCACUCCCAAGAGUUCACAUCGACGGAGUGGUUUGGCACCUCGAUGUCGGCUCAUCGCAUCCUGGGGCUGAAGUAGGUCCCAAGGGUUGGGCUGUUCGCCCAUUAAAGCGGUACGCGAGCUGGGUUCAGAACGUCGUGAGACAGUUCGGUCCCUAUCCGGCGUGGGCGUAAGAUAUUUGAGAGGAGCUGUCCUUAGUACGAGAGGACCGGGAUGGACUGGCCGCUGGUGUAUCUGUUGUCUUACCAAAGGCAUAGCAGAGUAGCCAAGCCGGGAAGGGAUAAACGCUGAAGGCAUCUAAGCGUGAAGCCCCCCUCAAGAUGAGAUAUCUCAUAACGUCAAGUUAGUAAGACCCCUUGAAGACGACGAGGUAGAUAGGGCAGAGGUGGAAGUGUGGUAACACAUGGAGCUGACUGUUACUAAUAGGUCGAGGGCAUAACCGA
rnacentral:rRNA from 1 species